GUGUGCCUACGGGGGGCAGCAGUAGGGAAUCUUCCACAAUGGGCGAAAGCCUGAUGGAGCAACGCCGCGUGGGUGAAGAAGGUCUUCGUAUCGUAAACCCCUGUUGUUAGAGAAGAAAGUGCGUGAGAGUAACUGUUCACGUUUCGACGGUAUCUAACCAGAAAGCCACGGCUAACUACGUGCCAGCAGCCGCGGUACUACGUAGGUGGCCAGCGUUAUCCGGCUUUAUUGGUCGUAAA
rnacentral:rRNA from 1 species